rnacentral:rRNA from 1 species
UUAAGCGACUAAGCGUACACGGUGGAUGCCCUGGCAGUCAGAGGCGAUGAAGGACGUGCUAAUCUGCGAUAAGCGUCGGUAAGGUGAUAUGAACCGUUAUAACCGGCGAUUUCCGAAUGGGGAAACCCAGUGUGUUUCGACACACUAUCAUUAACUGAAUCCAUAGGUUAAUGAGGCGAACCGGGGGAACUGAAACAUCUAAGUACCCCGAGGAAAAGAAAUCAACCGAGAUUCCCCCAGUAGCGGCGAGCGAACGGGGAGCAGCCCAGAGCCUGAAUCAGUGUGUGUGUUAGUGGAAGCGUCUGGAAAGGCGCGCGAUACAGGGUGACAGCCCCGUACACAAAAAUGCACAUGCUGUGAGCUCGAUGAGUAGGGCGGGACACGUGGUAUCCUGUCUGAAUAUGGGGGGACCAUCCUCCAAGGCUAAAUACUCCUGACUGACCGAUAGUGAACCAGUACCGUGAGGGAAAGGCGAAAAGAACCCCGGCGAGGGGAGUGAAAAAGAACCUGAAACCGUGUACGUACAAGCAGUGGGAGCACAGAGCAAUCUGUGUGACUGCGUACCUUUUGUAUAAUGGGUCAGCGACUUAUAUUCUGUAGCAAGGUUAACCGAAUAGGGGAGCCGAAGGGAAACCGAGUCUUAACUGGGCGUUAAGUUGCAGGGUAUAGACCCGAAACCCGGUGAUCUAGCCAUGGGCAGGUUGAAGGUUGGGUAACACUAACUGGAGGACCGAACCGACUAAUGUUGAAAAAUUAGCGGAUGACUUGUGGCUGGGGGUGAAAGGCCAAUCAAACCGGGAGAUAGCUGGUUCUCCCCGAAAGCUAUUUAGGUAGCGCCUCGUGAAUUCAUCUCCGGGGGUAGAGCACUGUUUCGGCAAGGGGGUCAUCCCGACUUACCAACCCGAUGCAAACUACGAAUACCGGAGAAUGUUAUCACGGGAGACACACGGCGGGUGCUAACGUCCGUCGUGAAGAGGGAAACAACCCAGACCGCCAGCUAAGGUCCCAAAGUCAUGGUUAAGUGGGAAACGAUGUGGGAAGGCCCAGACAGCCAGGAUGUUGGCUUAGAAGCAGCCAUCAUUUAAAGAAAGCGUAAUAGCUCACUGGUCGAGUCGGCCUGCGCGGAAGAUGUAACGGGGCUAAACCAUGCACCGAAGCUGCGGCAGCGACGCUGAUGCGUUGUUGGGUAGGGGAGCGUUCUGUAAGCCUGCGAAGGUGUGCUGUGAGGCAUGCUGGAGGUAUCAGAAGUGCGAAUGCUGACAUAAGUAACGAUAAAGCGGGUGAAAAGCCCGCUCGCCGGAAGACCAAGGGUUCCUGUCCAACGUUAAUCGGGGCAGGGUGAGUCGACCCCUAAGGCGAGGCCGAAAGGCGUAGUCGAUGGGAAACAGGUUAAUAUUCCUGUACUUGGUGUUACUGCGAAGGGGGGACGGAGAAGGCUAUGUUGGCCGGGCGACGGUUGUCCCGGUUUAAGCGUGUAGGCUGGUUUUCCAGGCAAAUCCGGAAAAUCAAGGCUGAGGCGUGAUGACGAGGCACUACGGUGCUGAAGCAACAAAUGCCCUGCUUCCAGGAAAAGCCUCUAAGCAUCAGGUAACAUCAAAUCGUACCCCAAACCGACACAGGUGGUCAGGUAGAGAAUACCAAGGCGCUUGAGAGAACUCGGGUGAAGGAACUAGGCAAAAUGGUGCCGUAACUUCGGGAGAAGGCACGCUGAUAUGUAGGUGAAGUCCCUCGCGGAUGGAGCUGAAAUCAGUCGAAGAUACCAGCUGGCUGCAACUGUUUAUUAAAAACACAGCACUGUGCAAACACGAAAGUGGACGUAUACGGUGUGACGCCUGCCCGGUGCCGGAAGGUUAAUUGAUGGGGUCAGCGCAAGCGAAGCUCUUGAUCGAAGCCCCGGUAAACGGCGGCCGUAACUAUAACGGUCCUAAGGUAGCGAAAUUCCUUGUCGGGUAAGUUCCGACCUGCACGAAUGGCGUAAUGAUGGCCAGGCUGUCUCCACCCGAGACUCAGUGAAAUUGAACUCGCUGUGAAGAUGCAGUGUACCCGCGGCAAGACGGAAAGACCCCGUGAACCUUUACUAUAGCUUGACACUGAACAUUGAGCCUUGAUGUGUAGGAUAGGUGGGAGGCUUUGAAGUGUGGACGCCAGUCUGCAUGGAGCCGACCUUGAAAUACCACCCUUUAAUGUUUGAUGUUCUAACGUUGACCCGUGAUCCGGGUUGCGGACAGUGUCUGGUGGGUAGUUUGACUGGGGCGGUCUCCUCCUAAAGAGUAACGGAGGAGCACGAAGGUUGGCUAAUCCUGGUCGGACAUCAGGAGGUUAGUGCAAUGGCAUAAGCCAGCUUGACUGCGAGCGUGACGGCGCGAGCAGGUGCGAAAGCAGGUCAUAGUGAUCCGGUGGUUCUGAAUGGAAGGGCCAUCGCUCAACGGAUAAAAGGUACUCCGGGGAUAACAGGCUGAUACCGCCCAAGAGUUCAUAUCGACGGCGGUGUUUGGCACCUCGAUGUCGGCUCAUCACAUCCUGGGGCUGAAGUAGGUCCCAAGGGUAUGGCUGUUCGCCAUUUAAAGUGGUACGCGAGCUGGGUUUAGAACGUCGUGAGACAGUUCGGUCCCUAUCUGCCGUGGGCGCUGGAGAACUGAGGGGGGCUGCUCCUAGUACGAGAGGACCGGAGUGGACGCAUCACUGGUGUUCGGGUUGUCAUGCCAAUGGCACUGCCCGGUAGCUAAAUGCGGAAGAGAUAAGUGCUGAAAGCAUCUAAGCACGAAACUUGCCCCGAGAUGAGUUCUCCCUGACUCCUUGAGAGUCCUGAAGGAACGUUGAAGACGACGACGUUGAUAGGCCGGGUGUGUAAGCGCAGCGAUGCGUUGAGCUAACCGGUACUAAUGAACCGUGAGGCUUAACCUU